rnacentral:rRNA from 1 species
UGUAUAGCAAUAGCUAACUGCACUAAAAAUUUUAGUGUAAAAUCGACUAUGUUGAAUAAAAUUCUGGGUAGUACUAUGAUAAUGACAUUACAUAUUCAUAAGUCUUGACCAAAUUACGUGCCAGCAGUCGCGGUAAUACGUAGAAGACAAGUGUUAUUCAUCUUUAAUAGGUUUAAAGGGUACUUAGACGGUAAAUCAAGCCUCAAAAGGGACUAAUUUGCUAGAGUUUUAUGUGAAAAAGUAUUAAAGUACUGCUGGUGUAGAGAUGAAAUUCUGUAAUACCUUAGAUGGCACAGGUUAUGGCGAAAGCAUCUUUUUAUGUAAAAACUGACGUUGAAGGACGAAGGCUUUGUGUCUCGAACAGGAUUAGAUACCCUAGUAGUCUAAGCAGACAAUGAUGAAUGUCAUAGAUUAGAUGUAAUUUGAUCUAUAAAUGAAAGUGUAAGCAUUCCACCUCAAGAGUAAUUUGGCAACAUUGGAACUGAAAUCAUUAGACCGUUUCUGAAACCAGUAGUGAUGUAUGUUGUUUAAUUUGAUAAUCCGCAAAAAACCUUACCACCUUAGGGAGUAUUCUAUGAAUAGAUAUAUUUUAUCAUACAAGUGUUGCACGGCUGUUUUCAGUUAAUGUCGUGAGACUUUGGUUAGUUCCAUAAAAUUAACGUAAACCCUUACUUUAUUUUAAAAUAAAGUAGCUCACCGCUAUAUUGGAUGUGAUAACAGGGAUUAAGACAAGUCAUCAUGACCUAAAUAUUGUGGGCUAUAGACGUGCCGCAUAUGCCUUACAAAGAGAUGCUAAAUUGCGAAAUUGAGCUAAUCUCCUAAAAU